ACCAACCUUCCCUCCACCAUCAACCUUAUCCCUACCACCAAUACCACCGCCAAGCUUCCUACCAGCACCACCACCACCACCACCAUCCUCCCCCCCCCCCCCCAACCACUCCACCACUACCACUACCACCACCACCAACCUCGUUCGAAGUUCCAUAGUCUGCCCACAGAUCCACCAGUAUCAGGAAUAACAAACACAAAGGAUAAUUCAAGUUCCUAGUGACUUUUCCUAAUUAUAAACUUGGCGUUUGACCAUCUAAGAGUGCAUUAUUUCUUUGAUUUCUUGGUUGUAUGAACUAAAUAGUACUGAUAUAUGACUUCAGACAUCUGCGGUCAUCCUUAUUUAAAUCUUCUAUCCAUUGGUCUCAUCCUAUAAAACAUAGAAAUAUAUAUAUAUAGAUAUACGUAUAUACAUGAAUCUCGGGUCCUACAUGUGGACUAGGCAGUCGCGUUCACAAAGGUUUAAUUUUUGUAUCGAACGUCUUAAAGACUUGUUAAGGAAUGGACGCGACCGCCUUGCUGAAGACUCAGCGGGUCUUCUUUCCCCCCCUGGGUCCUGGCACCUUAGGGACAAGACAUUGUGACCAGGGGGUCCUAUAGAGACCUGCUAGCCCCUAGCCCCCUUUACCCUCUUGGGGUCUUCAUGGAUGGCUGCCCUUAGGGGCUUUACCGAGGCUCUCUCUCCCUCUCUCUCUCACUUUCUCUCUCCGCCACACUGCUGCCAAAGUUACUGAUGCCUCCAGUUCAUCUAUUCAGUUCACCUGUGUCCUGGAAACUUGAUUGUUGUUGAUUUCCAGGUUUUUAUACCCCCUCUCCCCCUCAAGUUCCUUCAUGUGAUACUCCACAAGCGUUAAAACCAUCACAUCCAUUGCUAGAUGACCCGGUUCAAGUUUCCCAGCUGCCGCAGUAGCAGGUGGGCCUUGCCACCUACAUGCAAUGUCCCACUCUUUGACCCGCUACCGCAUGCGGGGCUUUUCUUGCCCCCCCCCAUCCUUCGCGCCCUGUUAAUUACACCCGGGGCGCGCCGACCCCUCUCUCCCCAACCAUGUGUCACCACAAGCAAGACGGCCUGUUCCUUCGUGGACACCCAACCACCACUUCCUCCUCCUUGGCACCUUACCCUAAGGCGCUUAUGGCUUGAUAAUGCUCUCUAGUGACGGCGUCUGAAGCGCUGCCAGGGCGUGACGCCCCGUGUGUCGACAGUAAAGGCCAGGGUGGACACUGCGAAGUGCUUGCUCCUCGCCGACUUUCCUCACCAAAGGAGCAGGUAUCAAAACUGUGGGUCACAGGUUAGCUGGCGGGCGGCCUCAGAGGGCUCCUUACGUUGUCGCGUCUCCAAGGGGGGCGGAGCGCACUGCAAUCGCCUUGCUAAUAUACCUCACGCCAAUUCCGCCGCAGCCUGGCUCACCCCUGGGGCCGCACCCACCGCUGCCUCCCGCAGUCUUCCACACGGAAACGCCGCAGUCUGCCCUGCAGUAACCGCAAGCGGACUGUUGGACAUGAAUACGCGACCUCACCGGGCCGUUAAAAGGAUUGGUGUCCAUCUAAAUGGCCGAAUAGGAGUUUCAUGUACAUUUUAAUAUAUUGUCAAUACGACAUAAUAAAUACAGACGUCCCAGCCAUUUUCUUUGUACCAUUGUAUGAAUUAUUAAUAAGUAGCGUUUGAAUAGAAAGUUGUUGUCAUGUUGUCGUGUUUAUAAAUUAUUAAGGGUCGGGUACUAUGUUGGUAGCACUGCAGUGUCAAACUAUGUACAAUGCCCGCGGGGCCGCUCACCCCCGCAACACCCCCCCCCCUUUCUCCCUCCCCCCCUUUUAACCCCCCCCCUCCUCUGGGGGCAUAUCACCCCCUUCCAAUUCCCCUGUUUUCUAAGAUCAUGCUGUGUACUCCCUCUCAAAUUCAGUGGGAUUAUCAUCAGUGCUAUGAUGAUGCAUUAUUGUAUAUCAACGAGUGAAGAAAGUGAGCCAUGCCACAUGUGAGUACGUGAGUACGUGUGAGUGCGUGUGUGAGUGCGUGCGUGUGUGAGACCAGGGUCUAUGGAGCCACACAUAGACAACUUCUCCGUGCAUGCUCAUCUUGCUGAUGCUUCAAUGGUUUUGUUGCGAUUUCUUGUCCUACGGUGUAGUUACAAGCGUACACGUGUUAGAUGUAGUGUGGGGUCGACAAAAAAUACAGAUGUCUCUGAGCCAAGCCUCCAUGGGUGAAGCAUGGGGGGAAAAAAAGCAAUUCGCGAUGCUGGUUUGAGGUCACUUGGUUUCAAAAAAAAAAAAAUAAGGCACGGCCGUGGCGGUUUAGGCAAGCUAGGAUAUCUUUCCUGGGCACCGUGUAUCCUACCAUCCAGGUGGCCCUUCUGGGCACCGUAUACCCUACUAUCCAGGUGGCUCUCCUGGGCACAGGAGGGCCACCUGUCUUACACGGCACCUUUGUAUCAAAUUAUCACAAUUAUUAUUAUGUUGAAUGCUGUUAUGUAAUUCUGUAGGUCACCAAGCUUGCCUAAACGGUGCUUUCUUUUACCUUAUCCGCGGAACACUAAGUGUGUAGAUACUGCAGUAAAUAAAUAAACAAUGGUCCAACUAGAUGA